CACUCUCUCCCCACCACUCCCCAUUCCAUGGUGGCCGCCGCCCAUUCUCCCCGCUGCCUGCUCUCCUCCGCACGCCGCGCCGUCGCACGACGCCUCCUCCUCCUCCCCUCUGCCUCGCCCCGCCGCCUCCUCGCCGCACGACGGUCUCGCCUCGCCAGCAACCCCGCCGGUCUUCCCUAGAUAAACUCUGCCGCUGCCAUCCCCAUGUCCUAGCGCAGAUCUAGACGGGAGCUAGAGGGGCAUGCUGGACACGAUGCGGGAGCGGGCAUAUCAUAGAGGACCGAGAUCCAGUGCAUCUACGUGCCCGCUGUCAUUGUUGUCCCCCGUGCUUGGCUCCCACACUCGCUCCGGGUAGGCGCUCGCAGCUCGCCUACUGCUCGGCUGCUCUAGGUACUUGACGGACUCAGUUAAAGCACAACGUCAGGCUGCAGCAGAAGCUUGAGGAAUGCAGGGGCUAAUGAUAGUACUCAUCAACCAAAAUUACCGGCGUUGCCAACCAUGCUUUGAACUUUCGGAGAUCAAGCUGUACGGUUGUACAAUGAAGAUUUUUGGUAACUACCUCAACUCUCAUGAGAUGAUUAGCUUAGAAAAUCGAGAUAUUUUCUCAUGAAUUUCAGCUCUUCUGAUGAGGCACAUAGUUUUGUACUUGGGGUGCUCAGAAAUAAUAGGAUGUUUUCUUUUUUAUACAUCUCGUGGCUUAUCCUUGUGUCAGAACAGAAAGGAAAAAAGAAUACUUGGUCUUUACAUGGAAAGGACGCUCCUGUGGUUAUUGUGAUAUCAAAUUUUGCAUAAUUUCUUCUAAUGUUUUAUUUACUCUUUUACUGGCUUCCCUGUCUUUAUUUGUGGUGCUUAGUUGCUCAACCUGGCAUGCUCUGUUACCCAAGAUGCAGUUUAAGGAUUCAAGUGGCGAUUGCAACCCAAAAUGUUGCAAAGAAUCUGCUACCAGAGGCUUCAUUAUGCACAUCUUUUCUUUUUACAAAAUGAAGUCUGAUCUGCUGUCAUCACAUCAACACGUAUGCCUACAUCACCAAUGUUUGUACAGCGACAUUUAUUCACAGACAAAUGAAGAUAUUCUAAGGUGAAAGGAGGAGCGGCCACCCACUCGACGGUGCGGUGCAGGGUGGCAAGGGAGCCGGCAGGGAGGUGUCAACGUGGUGCAUGGCCGCGAGGGAACCGUCCAGGAAGGCGACGAUGCGAUGCAGGGAUCGAGGCCGCCGUGCAGGGAGCCGACGGGGCUGCUGAGCUUCCUUUGGGGCGGUGGCGAGGAAAGGCAGGAGAGGGGCGAGGGAGACGAUUAGGUUUAGAUUCCUUUUUUUUCAAAUUUAUUAGAUGGUUAGAUUAGCGUGAUUUGAGGGGCUGCGGAGGUGGGAUGGAGAGUUUCAUAUUUUCGUCUGGUGGAGUAAGGUCAGUCCAUGUAAACUGCUAAGCGCACACCAGAUCUCAAAUAAAUUAAUGAUGGCUGUUAGAUUGGGUCGUGUGGGCUUCAUCUUGUGGUGGUGA